rnacentral:lncRNA from 1 species
UGUCUCGUCAUUCUAUAUAAAAAUGUUGUAUAAAUUUUAUGUUUGUAUAUCAUUAUCAUUUUUUUAUACGUAGUGAACAACUUUAAUUAUUUUGGUCAAAGUCUUUAUUUUUCUAGUUUGUUUUAACUGGAGAAACCGAAAAGAAAAAAAAAUCUUUUCCAAUUUAUUUUGAAUAAACAAUUGAAAAGCGUAAAAGAUUUUAACUGAAAACUUAAAAUUAUUCACAUCUUUCUUUUUUUAAAUGUAUCAUAGCUUUAGUUUUUAGAAAGUUUCAGUUAUUAGAAGGUUUUGGGUUCAAAUCUCUCUUUUGCAUUUUACUUCUCCUCUUUGCAUUAUGCUUACCUUUAUAUGAAUAUUUGUAUCUUCAUAUGCAAUACAAGAUUGCAGGUAAGGAAGGGUAUUGGAUAGCUUGAUAUGCAUCCCUGGGCGCGUGUUUCCUAACAGCUUGAGGUUUUAAGACAAUUGGUGAGAUAACAAACUGCCUAGCAGCUAGCAGAAACUUAGAUCCAUCUGCAGACUUGUUCAAUCUGUCUUUUCAUAGGCCAAUUUAUUAUCACAGAAGCCAUUACACAAAAUAAAUUAAGGCACAAUUGAGAACUCGUGAACUUAAAAUUCAUCAGAGAAAAGAAGAAUAGAGAUGGUUGAAUGAAGGCACAUUACUUAUCGCCAGGUUUUCAGAAUCAACUCUUCUCAACACUUUCUUUCCCAAGGGGAAUUAGGAAAUUCUUACAUACCACUUGUAUACUUUUGAAUCCGCACACCAGUUAAGAUACAAAUAUUGUACACUGCAUGUUUCGGUCAUGCUGAGAAAGCAAAAGAGCAAGCAGUCUAUUAGGAAAAACAGAAAUAAAUACAAGCACAAAUGGCAUCAGCGCCACCCAGAAUUACAAUCUUUAGAUGCUUCAAUAAUAAUAAAAGAAGUAACUAAGGUUUUCACCGAGAAGUGGAGGCGUCCUUCACUUAAUAGAACAUAACUUAACUGCAUCAGAAGCAUCGUGGAAAGCUUAAAAGCUUUUGAGCUGCUUGGAAAAAUUCCUCGGGUGGUUUACUUAGUUUCCCCUGUCCAUAGUGAUAACCAUCUUUUUGCAGCACACUUGCAUCUUCAUAUCAGAAAUUGUACCAAGGAAAGUUGGAAGUCAUAGGAUACCCUCUAAACGAAUAAAAGUAACUUUUUGAAGCUGCAGCGGUCAAACACCUGAAAGUCCUCUUUCGUGAUGUCCAGUAGUGCUCUUCGUCAAAAUUAAAAAGCUCAUCCCGUAUUUCCCAGAAACACUGCACAAAAAAUUGUGACGCUAUUGCAUAAGUUUAAAGGUGUCAGCGCAAUCAGCAAGAACGAAUUAUUAUGCCCAUGAAUAUGAAUCAAAUGGCUACAUCAAAGGCCAUUUACACAUAGGCAGGUACGAGUAUCUGGUGCGAGUCUAAGCGUAUUACCAUUCCAAACUUAAAUCUCAAUAUACUAGGUCAUGUGUCCAAAAUUAGGUAUGAGUACGGGAACACGUCAUCUACACUUAGAUCCAUGGGCAUAUUUCCUAACGGCUUUAAGACAAUUGGUGAGAUAACAAACUGCCUAGCAGCUAGCAGACACUUAGAUCCAUGUUCAAUAUGUCUUCAGAGGCCAAUUUAUUAUCACAGAAGCUAUAACACAGAAUAAAUUAAGGCACAAUUGAGAACUCGUGAACUUAAAAUUCAUCAGAAAAGAAGAAUAAGAUGAUUGAAAUUGAAGACACAUUACUUAUUAUCACCAGGUUUUCUAGAAUCACUUUCUUUCUAACACUUCUUUUCCUCCCAAGGGGAAUUAGGAAAUUCUUACAUACCACUUGUAUACUUUUGAAUCCGCACACCAGUUAAGAUACAACUAUUGUACACUGCAUGUUUCGGUCAUGCUGAGAAAGCAAAAGAGCAAGCAGUCUAUUAGGAAAAACAGAAAUAAAUACAAGCACAAAUGGCAUAGCAGCGCCACCAGAAUUACAAUCUUUAGAUGCGGCAAUAAAUAAUAAAAGAAGUAAACUAGGUUUCACCGAGAAAGUGGAGCGAUCCGUUUCACUUAUAGAACAUAACUACUGCAUCAGGAGAGCAUCGUGGAAGUUAAAAGCUUUUGAGCUGCUUGGAAAAAUUCCUCGGGUGGUUUACUAGUUUCCCCUGCCAUAUUGAUAACCAUCUUUUGCAGCACCCUUGCAUUCUUCAGCAGAAAUUGUACCAAAGGAAAGUUGGAGUCAUAGGAAUACCCUCCUAAACGAGUAAAAGUAACUUUUUUGAGAUGCAGCGUCAAACACCUGAAAGUCCUCUUUCGUGAUGUCCAGUAGUGCUCUUCAUCAAAAUUAAAAAGCUCAUCCCGUAUUUCCCAGAAACACUGCACAAAAAAUUGUGACUCUAGUGCAUCAGUUUAAGGUGUCAGCGCAAUCAGCAAGACUGAAAUUCUUAUGGCCCAUGAAUAUGAUCAAAUGCUACAAUCAAAGGCCUUUACAAGGACAACUGAAGACAUCUGUGUUAUCGGAGGCAG